GAUGAACGCUGGCGGCGUGCCUAAUACAUGCAAGUCGAGCGAACAGACGAGGAGCUUGCUCCUCUGACGUUAGCGGCGGACGAGUGAGUAGCACGUGGAUAACCUACCUAUAAGACUGGGAUAACUUCGGGAAACCGGAGCUAAUACCGGAUAAUAUAUUGAACCGCAUGGUUCAAUAGUGAAAGACGGUUUUGCUGUCACUUAUAGAUGGAUCCGCGCCGCAUUAGCUAGUUGGUAAGGUAACGGCUUACCAAGGCAACGAUGCGUAGCCGACCUGAGAGGGUGAUCGGCCACACUGGAACUGAGACACGGUCCAGACUCCUACGGGAGGCAGCAGUAGGGAAUCUUCCGCAAUGGGCGAAAGCCUGACGGAGCAACGCCGCGUGAGUGAUGAAGGUCUUCGGAUCGUAAAACUCUGUUAUUAGGGAAGAACAAAUGUGUAAGUAACUAUGCACGUCUUGACGGUACCUAAUCAGAAAGCCACGGCUAACUACGUG
rnacentral:rRNA from 1 species